rnacentral:pre_miRNA from 1 species
AUCUUCUGAGGAUCUUGUUAAGAUGCAGAUUCAGAUUCUGUGGGUCUGGAGUGGGGCCUAGGAUUCUGCAUUUCUAGCAAGCCCCCAGACGAUGUGGA